rnacentral:rRNA from 1 species
UGGGGAAUAUUGCACAAUGGGCGCAAGCCUGAUGCAGCGACGCCGCGUGAGGGAUGGAGGCCUUCGGGUUGUAAACCUCUUUCGCCAGUGAAGCAGGCCAUCUUCUUUGUGGGGUGGUUGACGGUAGCUGGAUAAGAAGCGCCGGCUAACUACGUGCCAGCAGCCGCGGUAAUACGUAGGGCGCGAGCGUUGUCCGGAAUUAUUGGGCGUAAAGAGCUCGUAGGCGGCUGGUCGCGUCUGUCGUGAAAUCCCCUGGCUUAACUGGGGGCUUGCGGUGGGUACGGGCCGGCUUGAGUGCGGUAGGGGAGACUGGAAUUCCUGGUGUAGCGGUGGAAUGCGCAGAUAUCAGGAGGAACACCGGUGGCGAAGGCGGGUCUCUGGGCCGUUACUGACGCUGAGGAGCGAUAGCGUGGGGAGCGAACAGG